AAAAAGCAAUUUAUAAAGAAAAAAACUUGAAAGCGCCAGUCUUCAUUUAUUGUAAUUGCAUGGAAAAGAGCAACCAGCACAAAUGUCAUCUUUUAUGUGAGGAAAAAAGUCAUACAUGUUGACAUGAGGUUGAAAAGAAACUAAGGUUUUU